GUACUUAAAAACUAAGUAUGGUAUCUAUAAAUAGACACCAUUUGUACAUUUUAUAUAUACAUAAGAAGUAGUAACAAAUAUACUACUAAAAUUCUCUCUAGUUCUCUUCUUUGUUAAACAAAGUUUGAUAUUAAUAUUUUGUCUUUAUUUUAUAACACGUUAUCAGCAUGCCUCUAUCCUCUUUCAAAUUUUAAAUCCAUUAGUUUUCAUCAUGUCAAACUUGUCGAAGCUUAAGUUUGUGACACUUGACAUCUCCGGGAAAAAUUACUUAUCAUGGGUUCUCGAUGCUGAGAUUCACCUAGCUGCUAAGGAUCUUAGUGCUACUAUUAUCCCGGAUAAUGCAACGUCGAGUCGGAACAAGGCCAAGGCUAUGGUUUUCCUUCGUCAUCAUCUGGAUGAAGGACUGAAGGUUGAAUACCUUACUGUGAAAGAUCCACUUGAAUUGUGGACUGAUUUGAAAGGAAGGUAUGACCAUCUAAAGGUCACGGUACUGCCCAGAGCUCGUUAUGAGUGGAUGCACUUAUGGUUUCAAGACUUUAAAACCAUUGUUGAAUAUAAUUUUGUUGUAUCAAGAUUGUUUCUCAAUUGAGAUUAUGUGAGGAAACUAUAAAUGAUGAGGACAUGAUGGAAAAAACACUAACUACUUUUCAUGCCUCAAAUGUGAUGUUGCAGCAGUAAUACCGUGAAAAGGGCUUUCAGAAGUAUUCUGAAUUAAUCUCAUGCCUUCUAGUAGUUAAAGCAGCAUAAUGCCCUUUUGAUGAAAAAUCAUGAAAACCGUUCCACUGGAACUGCGCCACUACCGGAAGCAAAUGUGGUACAAGUGCAUGGCCAGCCUGAAAGACGGCAAGAUCGAGGUCAUAAUAAUAUGCGUGGACGUGGCAAUGGCAAGGGGCGAUAUAGUAAUCGUCGUGGUGGUGGUAAUCAAAGAAGGGAGAACCAAAUGGGUCCCCAAAACAAUCCUUCAAGAGGUAAUUGUCAUCGCUGUGGAAUGAAAGACCACUGAAAAAAUGAAUGUCGGGUGCCUAAGCAUUUUGCCAGGCUUCAUCAAGAAUCUUGCAAAAGAAAGAGAAAUGAAGGUGGGACCUCAUCUAAUACCCGAAUGGAGUCACAUUUAACUUUCAAAAAUGAUGAUGAGGCAUGACCUUCAUAAAAAUAUGCUGACAAUGUUGAGGCAAACUUGAUCUUGAAAGAAGAUGAUUUUGAUGUCCUUAAUGAUAUAACUCAUUUGGAACCUGAAGACUUCUUUGGUGGCCAAAACUAAAUCUUGAUCAAGUUAUUGGGAAAUAAAUAAUAUUCUUUCAUUAUGUUGUUUUUUGGCAUGUUUUCCAUUAUGUUGUGUUUACUUUUCAAGAGAAAAUAAUAAUUAUUUAAGAUUAUGAAAGUUCACUUUCCUUAUCAUGUAUUUUUAUUUUGUGAAGAUAAUAAAAUUUUUCAAUCUUCAA